rnacentral:rRNA from 1 species
UAUGUGAUCGUCUCUCGCAUAUCAAUAAGCGGAGGAAAAGAAACUAACAAGGAUUCCCCUAGUAACGGCGAGUGAAGCGGGAAGAGCUCAAAUUUGAAAUCUUAAAGGGUUUCCCUUUACGAAUUGUAGUUUAAAGAAGUGUUUUCUGUUGAGGUUUUGGUAAAAGUUCUUUGGAAUAGGACAUCAUAGAGGGUGAGAAUCCCGUAUUUGACCUUUACUUUCAACUUUGUGAUACACUUUCAAAGAGUCGGAUUGUUUGGGAAUGCAGUCCAAAAUGGGUGGUAAAUUUCAUCUAAAGCUAAAUAUUGGCGAGAGACCGAUAGCGAACAAGUACCGUGAGGGAGAGAUGAAAAGAACUUUGAAAAGAGAGUUAAACAGUACGUGAAAUUGUCAAAAGGGAAGCGUUUGACACCAGUGUUGUUUUUCUGAAAAUCAAUUAAAGAACUGUUUAUGCUAAGCUGUUUAGACUUUAUCAGCUAAUCUGUUUAGUUUUGAGCUUUUCUUUAAUGCACUUUUCAGUUAACAAGUCAACAUCAAUUUCUUUUGCUGUAAAAAAGCUUGAGGAAGGUGGCUUGAGAUUCGUCUUAAGUGUUUAUAGCCUCUUGCCUAUGCAGUCGGAGAGAUUGAGGUCUGCAGCGUAGAUCCUUCGGGGCUAAAUGCAUUUGUGCUAAGUUAUAGCAUUUUAUAGACAACUUGUUGACUAUGAUUUGUCUUGUAGCUUACUCGCUUAUGUUAUUUUACCUACGCUUAGGAUGUUGAUCUGUAGUGCGUGCGC